rnacentral:rRNA from 1 species
GACGAACGCUGGCGGCGUGCUUAACACAUGCAAGUCGAACGGAAAGGCCCUGCUUUUGUGGGGUGCUCGAGUGGCGAACGGGUGAGUAACACGUGAGUAACCUGCCCUUGACUUUGGGAUAACUUCAGGAAACUGGGGCUAAUACCGGAUAGGAGCUCCUGCUGCAUGGGGGGGGUUGGAAAGUUUCGGCGGUUGGGGAUGGACUCGCGGCUUAUCAGCUUGUUGGUGGGGUAGUGGCUUACCAAGGCUUUGACGGGUAGCCGGCCUGAGAGGGUGACCGGCCACAUUGGGACUGAGAUACGGCCCAGACUCCUACGGGAGGGAGCAGUGGGGAGUAUUGCACAAUGGGCGGAAGCGUGAUGCAGCAACGCCGCGUGCGGGAUGACGGCCUUCGGGUUGUAAACCGCUUUCGCCUGUGCCGAAGCGUGAGUGACGGUAAUGGGUAAAGAAGCACCGGCUAACUACGUG